GACGAACGCUGGCGGCGUGCUUAACACAUGCAAGUCGAACGGAAAGGCCCUGCUUUUGUGGGGUGCUCGAGUGGCGAACGGGUGAGUAACACGUGAGUAACCUGCCCUUGACUUUGGGAUAACUUCAGGAAACUGGGGCUAAUACCGGAUAGGAGCUCCUGCUGCAUGGUGGGGGUUGGAAAGUUUCGGCGGUUGGGGAUGGACUCGCGGGUUAUCAGCUUGUUGGUGGGGUAGUGGCUUACCAAGGCUUUGACGGGUAGCCGGCCUGAGAGGGUGACCGGCCACAUUAGGACUAAGAUACGGCCCAGACUCCUACGGGAGGCAGCAGUGGGGAAUAUUACACAAUGGGGGGGAGCCUGAUGCAGCAGCGCCGCGUGCGGGAUGACGGCCUUCGGGUUGUAAACCGCUUUCGCCUGUGACGAAGCGUGAGUGACGGUAAUGGGUAAAGAAGCACCGGCUAACUACGUG
rnacentral:rRNA from 1 species